UACGGAGGGUGCAAGCGUUAUCCGGAUUCACUGGGUUUAAAGGGUGCGUAGGUGGGCAGGUAAGUCAGUGGUGAAAUCUCCGGGCUUAACUCGGAAACUGCCAUUGAUACUAUCUGUCUUGAAUACCGUGGAGGUUAGCGGAAUAUGUCAUGUAGCGGUGAAAUGCUUAGAUAUGACAUAGAACACCAAUUGCGAAGGCAGCUGGCUACACGAAUAUUGACACUGAUGCACGAAAGCGUGGGAUCAAACAGG
rnacentral:rRNA from 1 species